ensembl:miRNA
GGAUGAGGUAGUACGUUGUAUUGUUGUGGGGUCGGGAUUCGUGCCCCAAUCAGAGAUAACAAUACAACUUACUACUUUCCC